rnacentral:rRNA from 1 species
GAUGAACGCUGGCGGCGUGCCUAAUACAUGCAAGUCGAGCGAACGGACGAGAAGCUGGCUUCUCUGAUGUUAGCGGCGGACGGGUGAGUAACACGUGGAUAACCUACCUAUAAGACUGGGAUAACUUCGGGAAACCGUAGCUAAUACCGGAUAAUAUUUUGAACCGCAUGGUUCAAAAGUGAAAGACGGUCUUGCUGUCACUUAUAGAUGGAUCCGCGCUGCAUUAGCUAGUUGGUAAGGUAACGGCUUACCAAGGCAACGAUGCAUAGCCGACCUGAGAGGGUGAUCGGCCACACUGGAACUGAGACACGGUCCAGACUCCUACGGGAGGCAGCAGUAGGGAAUCUUCCGCAAUGGGCGAAAGCCUGACGGAGCAACGCCGCGUGAGUGAUGAAGGUCUUCGGAUCGUAAAACUCUGUUAUUAGGGAAGAACAUAUGUGUAAGUAACUGUGCACAUCUUGACGGUACCUAAUCAGAAAGCCACGGCUAACUACGUG